GAUUUUGUUGAUCAUGCCCUUUUUAGAUUUGUUUUUGUUUUUUCAUUAAAUUUUUUAAAAUUAUUUAUUGAGACAGGAGAGAUGGUUCAGUGAUUAAUAGCAUGUACUAGUCUUUCAGCAGAUCUGGGCUUGGUUCCCAGUACCCACAGGAGGUAACUCACAGCUAGCUAUAACUCCAGAGAAUUCGACUUCCUUUUCUAACCUUUAUGUCCACAUAUACAUACCUUUACAUAGGUGCACAUACAUAUAGUUUAAAUGAUUGUGUGUGCGUGCGCACACGCGUGCGCAAAUACCAUGUAACAGUCAGAGGACUACUUGCGGUAGUUAAUUCUUCUCACCUCGUGGUCCCAGGAAUGGAGCUCAGGCCCAUAGGGUUAGUAACCAAGCAUCAUUACCUGCUGAACCACCCUCAGUAGUCAUUUUAUUAUUUGAAAUCUCAUCAUUUUUAGUUUGUUGUAACCAUCAUUUGUGCCUGACUUAGAAGGACAAUUAUCAGAAUUCAGUGAUUGCAAAAUCCCUUUUGUAAAUAGAAAAGCCGAUGGGAUCAUUCUUGUGCUUUGGUUCCUGUUGGCAAGAGAAGGCAAGUGAUGAUUUAACUCCUGAAUUUCUAAUAGCAGGGUCUUCACCGAGCUCCAGCAGCAGUAAUUCUGUCAACCCCAUAGCCUCACUUGGAGCCCUGCAAACAUUGGCCGGAGCAACAGCUGGCCUCAACGUUGGCUCAUUGGCAGGUAAUGGGCAAGCCCUGGUUGUCAUCAGACUACUUUUAUAAGCUACCCCAGUAUAGAUGUACCAGUAGAAUAAUUGCCUUGCUUGCCCAAGAAAAAUUAGAAUAAUCAUGGGAUUGUAAGGUAAAUCCAGACUCUGCUGCUUAGCUAGCUGUAACCUUGGACCAUUGUUCUAAUACUCAUUUUCUCAGCUGCAAAGCAGAAGUAAAAGAAUACUUUGAAGGGUACUUGGUUAAAUGAGGCCAGGUGGUGGUGACACACGCCUUUAAUUCCAGUCCCUAGGUGGGAAAGGGAGGUGGACCUCUGAGUUCAAGACUGCCAUGGAGAAACCCUGUCUUGAAAAACCAAAACAAGCAAACAAAAUACCCCCUGCCCCCAGAAUGAAGUGUGAAACCAGCAACUGGAGAGAUGGUUCUUCUGUUGAGGCCUCCUUCUACUUUUCCAGAGGUCCUGGGUUUGAGUCCCAGCACACACAUCCUGGUUCACAGCUCUCUGUAACUUCACUCCUAGGGUAGUGGACGCCUUCUUUUGGCCUCCAUGGGUGUGGCAUGAAUGUUAUACACAGAUGUACAUACAGGCAAAAUACCCAUACAAAAUUUUAAAAUACAAAAACAGCUUUUACAAAGAUAAUGUUAAACGAGGACAUAGAGCCCAGUGGUAGUAAUCCUAGCGCUGGGAAGAUGGAGGCAGGCAGAUUUCCCAAAACUAGCCUGGUCUACAGUGAGUUCCAGGACAGCCAGGGCUACACAGAGAAACAAAACAAAAAACCAGAGUGGGUGGAGGGUGUGAGUAAGUAAAGAUGGAAAAUGGACCUAGCCAUUGGUGAGUGGUAUCAGGCCUACCAUGUGCUAGAAAACAGUAAUGAAGAGAGUAGUGAUGAGAUGUGGGAAUUUGUAAUAUUCACGUAGCAUUAAGGUCUGAAAUAGGACUAGUCAGAUGAAUAGUCUAACUCAAUGGGUAGUUAAAGGGGAAAUAAAGUCAAAUUUGGUGAGGAGAGGUCCAUUUCUUAGUAACUUCAGUGUAUUUGUCUUUAGUAUCAGAUGAAUCUUUCUAGUGUAUUAAUCUUGCUCUUCCUCCAAGGGAUGGCUGCUUUGAAUGGUGGUCUGGGCAGCAGUGGCCUUUCCAAUGGCACUGGGAGUACCAUGGAAGCCCUCACCCAGGCGUAUUCUGGUAUCCAGCAAUAUGCUGCUGCAGCCCUCCCCACUCUGUACAACCAGAAUUUAUUGACACAGCAGAGUAUUGGUGCUGCUGGAAGCCAGAAGGAAGGUAAGUGCACCAGAAUUAGAAGUCAAGGUCUGGGGCAAGGGAAUUAGGUAGACUAACCUUUCCCAACCAAGGCUAAGAACCAACUGAGAAAGACUAUGAAGUACAGUGCUUUUUGCCAUUUUGUGAGAAGAGUGUUUGGGUGAAUCAGAACUAUAUAGAUCCUCUAAGGAUGAAGCUUAUUUUUUAAAUUAAGAAACAAAUAGGCAUUGGAAUUGAUCUGGUCAUUUGACAAGGAUCUUCUUUUGUUAGGGAGUUUUUGGUCAUGAAUCUACCAGAGGAUUGUCUAAAUAUUCCUCUUAGGUAUAUUAUUUGACAUUUUUCUCUUUGACUAAUGAUGUAUGUCCUAAAUGAGAUACUGAGAUGUGAUGGGAUCAAGUGAGAUAGCUGCUAGGUUUGAUAGAGUGAGAAGUACAUGAAUAGAAGUGGAGUUAAUAUCUUUUGAUAAAAAUGGAAUUACUAUUAAGAAAGACUUCAUUGACAGUUCCUGCUAGCACCUUAGUGUUUAGGUUUGACUAACUGGGUUUUUAUAACCACGAUUUGAUAAGGUGUCACACUACUGUAAGAAAAACAAGUAGCUUUUUUGGCUUUAGUGUGUGAACCAGUAUUAAAUAGAGACCCAGAGGAUGUGAGGAAGCAAACCAAGUGUGUGUAUAGGAGAAGAGUAAUAGAGUGCAGAAAUGGCAGGUGCAUGGACCUGGAUGCCAUAAUGGGCCAUGUGUUUGACGACAACUAGGAGACAUAAGUGGCUGGAGAAUGGCUGGAUUUAUUAUCAUCUUAGUCACUCUUCAUUAGAAAAUCACAAUGUAAGUAAAGACAAUAUAUUUUCCUAUGAGUUCAGUGUUAAUCAUGAGCACUUUUGUGUGUGUGUAGUUUUUUUUGUGGUUUUUCAAGACAGGGUUUCUUUGUAGCAGCCCUGGCUAUCCUGGACUUGAAUUGUAGACCAGGCUGACCUCGAACUCACCCCUUCAGAGUACUGGAAUUAAAGGUGUGCACCGCCAUGCCCAGUUUCAUGGGCACUUUUUAAAAAUGUCUUUUUUUUUUUUUUUAACUUAGAUGUAGUUUGAGUAUGGUUAAAUUCAGAACUUGCCUAUUUUGGUAUAAAGCUCUGAGCUGAUACAGUGUUGAAGCACCCUCCAAAAUGAGAGCCGCUCAUUAGAAGCUCUCUAGCAACCCAUUGUCAUUCGCCACUCCAUCCCUGCCUCAGUACUCGUGGCACUCCCAGUUAUUUGUCAUCCUUUAGUGCCGGGGCAGAGUGUUGAAAACUUAUUUUUUAUUGUUGUUUACUUGCUUUUGUUUGGAAGGCAGGUCUCACUAUGUAGCCCAGGCAGACUUGAAUUGAAGUCCUCCUCUUUUAGACUCCUGAAGAAUAGAAUUACAGACUGAAGCUUGUUUUGACUAUGUAGCCCAUUCCUCCUCCUUUUUCUUAUUCUCUUGUGGCCUCUGUUUGGUUUUACUACGUACAUACUUGCAGAUCUGUCUUCUUUCCAAUCCCUGUAUACUCUCUCUGGCAAGGUAUGGGCCUUUAACAUCCUUCCAUGAGCCAGGCAUAGAAUGGCCCACAAUUUUAAUCCCAGCAUUUAGAAUGCAGAGGCCACUGGGUCUCUGUGACUUUGAGCCUGGUCUACAUAGUGAGUAGGAUAUCAAGAGCUUAUAAUGGGACACCACACACACACACACUUUAAUUCUUUAAUUUCAGCACUUGGGAGGCAGAGGCAGGUACUUGUUUCGGGAAAAAAAAUUCCUUCCAAGAGAUGAUACAUGGCUACAUGCAAGGGAAGAAAUCUACUUUUAGAAUUACUGCCAUCUAGAGAAUCUGUUUAAUUCUCCCUCAGAGAAUAAAUGUAUUAAGAUUUUGUUAAAAAAAAGUGGGAGUGGGUGGGUAGGGGAGUUGGGGGGAGAGUAUGGGGGGCUUUUGGGAUAGCAUUGGAAAUGUAAAUGAGGAAAAUACCUAAUAAAAAUAUUAAAAUAAAAAAGACUCUGCCUUCUCCGGCAGCCAUCUUUCC
rnacentral:lncRNA from 1 species